UACGUAGGGGGCGAGCGUUGUCCGGAGUUAUUGGGCGUAAAGAGCUCGUAGGCGGCUUGUCACGUCGGGUGUGAAAGCCCGGGGCUUAACCCCGGGUCUGCAUUCGAUACGGGCAGGCUAGAGUGUGGUAGGGGAGAUCGGAAUUCCUGGUGUAGCGGUGAAAUGCGCAGAUAUCAGGAGGAACACCGGUGGCGAAGGCGGAUCUCUGGGCCAUUACUGACGCUGAGGAGCGAAAGCGUGGGGAGCGAACAGG
rnacentral:rRNA from 1 species